AAUCUAUGGUACGGGCAUUUCUGGAUUAAUGUUUUAAAGCAUUCCUAAGCCUCAUGAAAGCUUUCCUUUUCCAACUGUCUAAAAACAAUGAUUUCUGUUCUUAGUUG
rfam:Gossypium arboreum cultivar AKA8401 contig_70409_1, whole genome shotgun sequence.